GGGAGUCCCUCCCUCUAAAAGCACUCUGUGUGGGGAACAUGAGAGCCAGACCAAAGCUCAGAGCCCAGAGCUGUGGGGCGUACCAGGCUCAGCUGGACAUAACCCUAAAACUAAUCCAGAACCUGGACCUGAACCCAGCUGUGUUUCCUUAAAGAGCAACGAGUCGAAGGAUUUUGCUGUAAACUUUAACAAAAGACUGUUAUGUGACAAAGAGAUCAAUAAGAGGCCAGAAUCUCCUGGACCUGAACCCAGCUGUGUUUCCUUAAAGAGCAACGUGUCAAAGGAUAUUGAAAUAAACUUUAAAGGCUGUUCUUCUGCUGCUGAGAGAGCUUCUGCACAGUGUGGAGAAAGAUCCAGAAGCAGAGCUGGACUGCAGACAGCCAGUCAGAGCAGCUGUGUACAAAAUGUUGGUCUGCAGGAGGUUUUAGAUGAACAUAAGAUCAGUCUGAGGA